AUGGCGAUCCGCGCAGAAUCGUUGUCGGCGGGAUGGACCGGGAAUAAUCUUGAGGAGCUGCUGCAGCAUCUGGAUCUUCAGGAUGACGAGCUCGAUGAUGUGGUGGUGGGGGAAGAAGAUGUGAAGAAGUUUGAAGCGGACGCAAGAUGGUUGGCGAUCGGGAAGGUGAACACGACUCGCCCCUUCAGUUCAUCGUCGAUGUUUGAGUGCAUGAAGUCAAUCUGGUCGCUCGCGCAAGUCCCAAAGUACAGGGAGGCAGGAGAAAACCUGUUUAUUUUCCAGAUGUUCUGUCUUGGUGAUUGGAAGAAGGUUGUGCAUGGAGGCCCAUGGCUUUUCAGGGGGAUGGGGAUGCUGAUCGAAGAUUAUGAUGGAAAGAAGGAACCAACAUCUUUUGAAUUUGAUGGAUUAUACGUGUGGGCUCAGAUCCAUAAUAUACCUAAACUCUACCGCAAGGUAGAGGUCGUAGAUCAAUUAGCCCGUCGCAUCGGGCGGGUGAAAGAAAUUCAGCUUGCCCCUAGGCUGUAUUAUGAAGGUGAU
rnacentral:rRNA from 1 species